rnacentral:rRNA from 1 species
UGGGGAAUCUUGCACAAUGGACGAAAGUCUGAUGCAGCAACGCCGCGUGGGGGAUGAAGCUUCUCGGAGUGUAAACCCCUUUCGACCCGGAAGAAUGCCCGCAAGGGUUUGACGGUACGGGUAUAAGAAGCCCCGGCUAACUACGUGCCAGCAGCCGCGGUAAUACGUAGGGGGCCAGCGUUGCUCGGAAUUACUGGGCGUAAAGGGUCUGUAGGCGGUGCGGCAAGUCGAUAGUGAAAUCCCUAGGCUUAACCUAGGGGCUGCUAGCGAAACUGCCGUGCUAGAGUGUGAGAGAGGCGAGUGGAAUUACGGGUGUAGCGGUGAAAUGCGUAGAUAUCCGUAGGAACAUCCGAGGCGAAAGCGGCUCGCUGGAUCACAACUGACGCUGAGAGACGAAAGCUAGGGGAGCAAACAGGAUUAGAUACCCUGGUAGUCCUAGCCCUAAACCAUCAGGACUUGGGGUUUGCCCUGUACGGGGCAAGUCCCGUAGCUAACGCGUUAAGUCCUGCGCCUGGGGAGUACGGUCGCAAGGCUG